rnacentral:rRNA from 1 species
UAGGGAAUCUUCCGCAAUGGACGCAAGUCUGACGGAGCAACGCCGCGUGAGUGAAGAAGGAUUUCGGUUCGUAAAACUCUGUUGUUAGAGAAGAACAGCGCAUAGAGUAACUGUUAUGCGUGUGACGGUAUCUAACCAGAAAGCCACGGCUAACUACGUGCCAGCAGCCGCGGUAAUACGUAGGUGGCAAGCGUUGUCCGGAUUUAUUGGGCGUAAAGCGAGCGCAGGCGGUCAAUUAAGUCUGAUGUGAAAGCCCCCGGCUCAACCGGGGAGGGUCAUUGGAAACUGGUUGACUUGAUUGCAGAAGAGGAGAGUGGAAUUCCAUGUGUAGCGGUGAAAUGCGUAGAUAUAUGGGGGAACACCAGUGGCGAAGUCGACUCUCUGGUCUGUAACUGACACUGAGGCUCGAAAGCGUGGGUAGCAAACAGG